GAUGAACGCUGGCGGCGUGCCUAAUACAUGCCAGUCGAGCGAACGGACGAGAAGCUUGCUUCUCUGAUGUUAGCGGCGGACGGGUGAGUAACACGUGCAUAACCUACCUAUAAGACUGGGAUAACUUCGGGAAACCGGAGCUAAUACCGGAUAAUAUUUUGAACCGCAUGGUUCAAAAGUGAAAGACGGUCUUGCUGUCACUUAUAGCUGGAUCCGCGCUGCAUUAGCUAGUUGGUAAGGUAACGGCCUACCAAGGCAACGAUGCGUAGCCGACCUGAGAGGGUGAUCGGCCACACUGGAACUGAGACACGGUCCAGACUCCUACGGGAGGCAGCAGUGGGGAAUAUUCCACAAUGGGCGAAAGCCUGAUGGAGCAACCCCGCGUGAGUGAUGAAGGUCUUCGGGUUGUAAAACUCUGUUAUUAGGGAAGAACAGAUGUGUAAGUAACUGUGCACAUCUUGACGGUACCUAAUCAGAAAGCCACGGCUAACUACGUG
rnacentral:rRNA from 1 species